UACAGAGGGUGCAAGCGUUGUUCGGAAUUAUUGGGCGUAAAGCGCGUGUAGGCGGCUUGGCAAGUCGGGUGUGAAAUCCCUCAGCUUAACUGAGGAAGUGCGCCCGAAACUGCUUUGCUUGAGUGUCGGAGAGGAUGGCGGAAUUCCCCAAGUAGAGGUGAAAUUCGUAGAUAUGGGGAGGAACACCGGUGGCGAAGGCGGCCAUCUGGACGACAACUGACGCUGAGACGCGAAAGCUAGGGGAGCAAACAGG
rnacentral:rRNA from 1 species